rnacentral:misc_RNA from 2 species
CAACCCUCAAGCCUAGCUUGGUGUUGGAGCACUACCAGUUAAACGGUAGGCUCUGAAAUUCAGUGGCGGGCUCGCUAAGACUCUGAGCGUAGUAGUUUAUCACCUCGCUUUGGAUGGAUUAGCGGUGCUCUUGCCGUAAAACCCCCCAAUUUCUGAA